rnacentral:rRNA from 1 species
UACGGAGGGGGCAAGCGUUAUCCGGAUUCACUGGGGUUAAAGGGUGCGUAGGUGGAGUGGUAAGUCAGUGGUGAAAUCUCCAAGCUUAACUUGGAAACUGCCGUUGAUACUAUCAUUCUUGAAUAUCGUGGAGGUAAGCGGAAUAUGUCAUGUAGCGGUGAAAUGCUUAGAUAUGACAUAGAACACCGAUUGCGAAGGCAGCUUGCUACACGAUCAUUGACGCUGAGGCACGAAAGCGUGGGGAGCAAACAGG